rnacentral:misc_RNA from 1 species
AUCGACUGCUAUAAUUCAGACUUGAAAUGAAAAGAUAGAUAGGAAAGCAGCAGAACUAAACCAGUCACAAGCCAGAAUCAAUUUCAUAAAAAUAAAUUAAUACAAGCAAAUUGGCGUCUCUCCAGGAUUAGCUUGCAAAGAUCUACUAGUGCAUGCUUGCACACUCACACACACAGAUAAUAUAUAAUUUUAACAACGACAAAGCAAGG